CGUGUAGGCGGCCAGGUAGGUCUGCUGUGAAAACUCGAGGCUCAACCUCGAGAUGUCGGCAGAAACCAUCUGGCUAGAGUCCGGAAGAGGAGAGCGGAAUUCCUGGUGUAGCGGUGAAAUGCGCAGAUAUCAGGAAGAACACCCGUGGCGAAGGCGGCUCUCUGGGACGGUACUGACGCUGAGAGCGAAAGCGUGGGGAGCGAACA
rnacentral:rRNA from 1 species